GACGAACGCUGGCGGCGUGCCUAACACAUGUAAGUCGAGCGAAGUGAGUACUACGGUACGAACUUAGCGGCGGACGGGUGAGUAACGCGUGGACAAUCUACCCUGUAGACUGGGAUAACACCUCGAAAGGGGUGCUAAUACCGGAUAAUGUCGAGAAGCGGCAUCGCUUUUCGAAGAAAGGAGAGAAUCCGCUAUAGGAGGAGUCCGCGUCCCAUUAGCUAGUUGGUGAGGGUAACGGCCCACCAAGGCGACGAUGGGUAGCCGGCCUGAGAGGGUGAACGGCCACACUGGAACUGAGACCCGGUCCAGACUCCUACGGGAGGCAGCAGUGGGGAAUAUUGUGCAAUGGGGGAAACCCUGACACAGCAACGCCGCGUGAGCGAAGAAGGCCUUCGGGUUGUAAAGCUCAAUAGUAUGGGAAGAUAAUGACGGUACCAUACGAAAGCCCCGGCUAACUACGUGCCAGCCGCCGCGGUAAUAC
rnacentral:rRNA from 1 species